rnacentral:rRNA from 1 species
AUUGAACGCUGGCGGCAGGCUUAACACAUGCAAGUCGAGCGGAGAUGAGGUGCUUGCACCUUAUCUUAGCGGCGGACGGGUGAGUCAUGCUUAGGAAUCUGCCUAUUAGCGGGGGACAACAUUCCGAAAGGAAUGCUAAUACCGCAUACGUUCUACGGGAGAAAGCAGGGGAUCUUCGGACCUUGCGCUAAUAGAUGAGCCUAAGUCGGAUUGGGUAGUUGGUCGAGUAAAGGCCUACCAAGGCGACGAUCUGUACCGGGUCUGCGAGGAUGAUCCGCCACACUGGGACUGAGACACGGCCCAGACUCCUACGGGAGGCAGCAGUGGGGAAUAAUGGACAAUGGGGGGAACCCUGAUCCAGCCAUGCCGCGUGUGUGAAGAAGGCCUUAUGGUUGUAAAGCACUUUAAGCGAGGAGGAGGCUACUGAGACUAAUACUCUUGGAUAGUGGACGUUACUCGCAGAAUAAGCACCGGCUAACUCUGUGCCAGCAGCCGCCGUAACAC